AUUGAACGCUGGCGGCAUGCUUUACACAUGCAAGUCGAGCGGCAGCGCGGGCUUCGGCCUGGCGGCGAGUGGCGAACGGGUGAGUAAUGCAUCGGAACGUGCCCAGUAGUGGGGGAUAGCCCGGCGAAAGCCGGAUUAAUACCGCAUACGACCUGAGGGUGAAAGCGGGGGACCGAAAGGCCUCGCGCUAUUUGAUCGGCCGAUGUCGGAUUAGCUAGUUGGUGGGGUAAAGGCUUACCAAGGCGACGAUCCGUAGCUGGUCUGAGAGGACGACCAGCCACACUGGGACUGAGACACGGCCCAGACUCCUACGGGAGGCAGCAGUGGGGAAUUUUGGACAAAGGGGGCAACCCUGAUCCAGCCAUGCCGCGUGCGGGAAGAAGGCCUUCGGGUUGUAAACCGCUUUUGUUCGGGAAGAAAUCCUCUGGGCUAAUACCCCGGGGGGAUGACGGUACCGGAAGAAUAAGCACCGGCUAACUACGUG
rnacentral:rRNA from 1 species